AAAUUGAAUAAAAAAAUAAAUGUACACUAUUAAGUUUAUUUUGGUUGCCGAAACAAGUAUUCUGUAAAAAGAAACCUGUAAUAUGAGUAUCUGAAAAGUGUUAACCAAAAUAUAUUCAGAUAUGACAAUGAUAUUAAUCAAGUUAGUCAAUUAAAAUAUAACACAAACUUAAUUCACCUAAUUAAUAUUUUCGCAUAAAACGAAGAGGCCGACCUCAAGUAGUUGGGGAAUUAAGGCGAGGAAAAAGAAGACAUAAAAUGAUUUUUCAAAAAUUGAAUGAAAAUAAUAAGAGUGAAUAUACUAAAACGAAAACCAGAGCGAAUCAAUAAUAUAUUGAAGUUGGCUGUUGAACUUGCUAAAGAUUCCAAAACCCUUGGAUACGUAAUCUAAAAUGGUAGAAUUUGUCCAGA